rnacentral:rRNA from 1 species
GCAAGUCGAACGGUAGCAGGGUGUGCUUGCACAUCGCUGACGAGUGGCGGACGGGUGAGUAAUGCUUGGGAACUUGCCUUUGCGAGGGGGGAUAACAGUUGGAAACGACUGCUAAUACCGCAUAAUGUCUACGGACCAAACGGGGCUUAGGCUCCGGCGCAGAGAGAGGCCCGAGUGAGAUUAGCUAGUUGGUGGGGUAAAGGCUCACCAAGGCAACGAUGUCUAGCUGUUCUGAGAGGAAGAUC